rnacentral:rRNA from 1 species
UACGUAGGGUGCGAGCGUUGUCCGGAAUUACUGGGCGUAAAGAGCUCGUAGGUGGUUUGUCGCGUUGUCCGUGAAAACUCACAACUCAAUUGUGGGCGUGCGGGCGAUACGGGCAGACUGGAGUACUGCAGGGGAGACUGGAAUUCCUGGUGUAGCGGUGGAAUGCGCAGAUAUCAGGAGGAACACCGAUGGCGAAGGCAGGUCUCUGGGCAUUAACUGACGCUGAGGAGCGAAAGCAUGGGGGAGCAAACAGG